rnacentral:rRNA from 1 species
CCCUUAGACGGUCUGGGCGGCACGCGCGCUACAAUGAUGCAUUCAAAAAGUCUUCUGACCUUAGAAGGUUGGGUAUUCUCCAAAGUGCAUCGUGAUGGGAAUAGUUUAUUGCAAUUUUUAAUCUUGAACGAGGAAUUCCUAGUAAGUACAGGUCAUCAACUUGUGUUGAUUACGUCCCUGCCCUUUGUACACACCGCCCGUCGCUCCUACUGAUUGAGUGUCUCGGUGAAUUCUUUGAUCUUCUGUCGAUUCAGUUCACUGAUCCGACGGUGGAAAGUUGAAUGAACUUCGUCACUUAGAGGAAGGAGAAGUCGUAACA